CUUGGCCGCGUGCUCGGGUGUUUGGAACGGAUGGGGACGGAUGGGGAGAAAUCGUUCCUGGCCGACCCCGGAAGAAUUCAUACAAUUAUAGAAUUGGAAACUUUGAGAACAGAAGAGUCCUUUGGAUUUAUAAGCAGUAUCCUAGGCCAGCAAAUUCAAACCAGCUAGAUUAUAAAGAAGGCAGACCUGGACGACCACGAGGUCCUUGCGGGCCCUGAAUGAAAAAAGAGAUAAUAAAAAUGUCUCAGUAAGAUUACUUUAAAUCUUCAUGUAUUACUUUGUAAUUAAAUGUAACUCAAUUCAAAUAUUAAAGUACAUGUAAACGGGCUGAAUUAAAUAGGAGUUAUAUUUGUGACUUAUUCAAAGAUUUCUCAAUGCACUGUAGGCCAUUUAUCUAAGUUCCUGAAAGUAUGUACUGUGUAUUUAUAAAUCUAUUCUGUACUAUUGUUUUUAAAUAUAGAAUCACUUCUAAAAGAUGGCAACCCAAUAAGACUGGAUAAGUAAUAUCAUUUUAUUUUCUUUCCUUGUAUAUAUUUGGAGGUCAUUUACAAUUGAUUGAUUAAAUUAUACCAGAGACACAGGCAACAAGCAGUUUGCAUAAUCCCCAGUCAGUUAAAAUGUUACUCUAAAACAAUUCCAUGCAUUACAUGCUUAAUUUAUUAGCAGUGCAUAACUAAUGUAGCUGUCAGAUGCAACUAUCUGCAAAUCUAUUUUACAGAAGAUAACAUUUAUUGUCUAUAGAAGGACAAAUACUUCCCAAAUAUACAAGCUUCCUAAAAAAAUAAAUUUGCAUUGCUGUUGAAUAAUGUCAGACUUGAGUAAUUGUGCUGUACUCAUACUGUGUCAUAGUAUUUUUUUCUCCCUCCAUUAAAUUGUAUCCAAUUCUUGGAUACCACCCUGGACAAAUCCCUGCAGUUUUCUUAAGUUUUUCAGAAGUGGUUUGUCAUUGCUUCUUUUCUAGGACUGAAAGAAAGUGACUAUCCCAAGGUCACCCCACUAGCUUUGUGAUCAAGGUGGGACUAGAACUCAAAGUUUCCCAGUUUCUAGCCUGGUGCCUUAAACCACUACACCGGGGUCGGCAACCUUAAACACUUAAAGAGCCACUUGGACCCAUUUCCUACAGAAAAAAAAAACACACUGACAACCACAAAACCUGGGUGGGUGUGGCCAACUCAAUGUCACUCACUCCCACCCAGUCACAUGACCACCUAGCCAC